rnacentral:rRNA from 1 species
CGAUGCCUACGGGGGGCAGCAGUGAGGAAUAUUGGUCAAUGGGAGAGAUCCGAACCAGCCAAGCCGCGUGAGGGAAGACGGCCCUAUGGGUUGUAAACCUCUUUUGUCGGAGAACAAAACCCGGGACGUGUCCCGGACUGCGUGUAUCCGAAGAAAAAGCAUCGGCUAACUCCGUGCCAGCAGCCGCGGUAAUACGGAGGAUGCGAGCGUUAUCCGGAUUUAUUGGGUUUAAAGGGUGCGUAGGCGGGCCGUUAAGUCAGCGGUAAAAUUGCGGGGCUGACACCUGUCG